GGUAAGCGUUCGUAGGAUUUCGGCUUUAAAAAGUGCUUAACUGUGACUGCGGCAUGUUUCAGGAUCUAGCUCCGAACGGUUUUGACGAUGCCCCUCCGAAACAUGCUAACCUGCCAUUGAUUUUCAGACGAAUUUAUUUCCGCGUCAGGCUGUCUCGGGCUUGCAGAUGGGACGCAUCAUGGAAGUGGGGAUUUGAACCCCCUGCUGCAGUACUCGAUCGGUCUCGGAGAUCUUGCUCUCUUCCUCCGCUUGUUGACGUUUGUUUAGGCCCGGCCAGGCAGUGGAAGCUCAAACAAAUAGUUCCCGUCUUUAAACAACUCCAAGUGGCUGGCAGGAACACGCGCGAUCUGAGCCUCCCAGCAUAUAAAUAAUACGACCACGCGCUGCCGCAGGAUCGCCUCGCCCUCCUCCUCGGUGCUGAUCUCUCCUCCUUUCCACCAUUUGAGUGACCAACUCCCAUGAUUCAAGAAACGAAGAAGUGAGAAACAGGAGUAUGGCUGUCUUCCAGUAGCAAGAUCUAUUGGCUCUUAACCUGUCAUGAGCUAGAUUGUGUAUGGGGAGCUUUGGGAGUAUGCCCCCUCUCCCAGCAAUGCUACGUGUUGGAGAAGGGGAUAACAGUUGCAUUUUAAGCACAUU